AGACUUCUAAUGAUCAUAUAAGUGAUAUUAACAUAAAUGUAGAUAGAAAUGGAAAUAGUACCUGUGCAAUUGGAUUUUUCUAGGUCUGUUUAAUUUCCUAUUAUAGAUUAAAAAUAAAUGUUAAUCAUUGUUUUUACCUCUAUAAGGAUGAAUUAAUAAUAUUUUAGUGGAUCGAAUCAGUCAAACAAAUUAUUUACCUUUGUUUCACUUUCAAUGUGGACAAUCUUUUCCAAUAAAAAAACAGACAUGCACAGUUAAAUUGAUGUACACUUGAAUACGGAUUCAAUAAGGUCAAAUUAUUCACUUGCAAGAGAAUAAUUCAUCAUCAAUGUUUCUUAGCUUAAUUUGACAAAAUUGAACCAUACUUACUGCUAAAAGCAAAUAAUUAUUAUUAUUUCACUAUUUCAAUUUAAUUAGUGAUUGAUCCUUAUAUAUAAAAUAGAAGAUAUGGUAUGGUUACAAAAAUGAGACAACUCUCCACAAGAGACCAAAAUGAUACAGCAAUUAACAACUAUAGGUUUCUACGUGGCCUUCAACAAUGAGCAAAGCCUAUACCGCAUAGUCAGCUUUAGAUUUUUAAUAUAUAUCUUGUAGCUAGUGCCCCUUUAAAGAUGACAGAAUGAUUUUUUUUUUGUAUUGACAUAAACAAAUGAUUGCAUUUAAUAUCCUUUUACGCCUAAAUUAAUUACUAUUUUUGAAAUCUAGACCAUGUAGACUAAACUUGUACAUUCCAUACAUAUAUAUAUUUAUUUUCUUACUUUCUUUUCAAUUAAAUAUGUUUUAUAAUUUAAAUAAUUUUGUAUUUUUUUUUUUUUACAAUGUAUAAGCAAUUCAUUAUUUUUUCUCUGAAUUUUUCUUUAUAAUAUAUAUGCUAGCAGGGGGCAUCAUCUGAGUCCCUAUGGACACAUUCCCCAUUUAUUUUGUUUUGACAUAAACAAAUGAGUUUUUUGGAAUCGAAACUUAACUUGUACAUUCCAUGAUAUAUAUAUAUAUAUAUAUAUUAUGUAUGUAUUUAUUUAUUUUUUUAACUUUCUUUUAAAUCAAAUAUGUUUUAUAAUUGAACUUCACAUUCCAUUUUAAAUACAUUAUUUAUACUUAAGGCACAUGUUGAAGCGAAUAUACCUUUGUAAGGGGAGAUAAUUUUUGUAAAUGAAGGUUGAUAAACUUUGGUAAGGGGAGAUAAUUUUUGUAAAUGAAGGUUGAUAAACUUUGGUAAGGGGAGAUAAUUUUUCAAAUAAUAAAUGAAGGGGAGAGACUUUAGUAAGAGCCUAAGGGAAGAUAGUUUUUGUUAAUGAAGGAGGACAGACUUUGGUAAGGGGAGAUAAUCUUUUAAUGAAGGAGAAUAAACUUGGGUAAGGGGAGAUAAUUAAGGUGGAUAGACUUUGGUAAGGUGGGAUGGUUAAGCUGGAUAAACUUGGGUAAGGGGAGAUAGUUGAAGAGGAUAGAAUUUGGUAAGGAGAGAUAAUUCUUUCAAUUAAAACUGCAUUUUUUCUUUAAAUUGUGUCCCCUUGAAUGAAAAAAAAAACAGAUUUGAAAGUUACAUUAACAGAAAAAGAUGAGACGUACACAAGAACUUUUUAUUUGCUUGUACCAGUAAACUUGUUUUAGAGGGUUUAUUUUAAUUAUUUGAUAAUUGUAUUAAAAGUUAGAUUCAUGGUUAAUUGAAGUAGCUGUUAUUUUCAGUUUGUUUAGUUAGAAGUAACAAAAAUGUGUCCCCAGUACACGAAUGCCCUACUCGCACUAUCAUUUUCUAUGUUCAGUGGACUGUGAAAUUGGGGUAAACCCUCUAAUUUAACGGACGAACGGACGCACAGACCAGAAAACAUAAUCCCCCUCUACUAUCGUAGGUGGGGCAUAAAAAUAAUAGUUUUCCUAUAUUUUGAAAGAAAAGAAUAUGGCUGAUAUGUCCAUACUGCUACUAUGGUGAUAUACAUUCCACAAAUUGUUUAUUGUUACCU
rnacentral:lncRNA from 1 species